CUACGUGCCAGCAGCCGCGGUAAUACGUAGGGUGCGGGCGUUAAUCGGAAUUACUGGGCGUAAAGCGAGCGCAGACGGUUACUUAAGCAGGAUGUGAAAUCCCCGGGCUCAACCUGGGAACUGCGUUCUGAACUGGGUGACUAGAGUGUGUCAGAGGGAGGUAGAAUUCCACGUGUAGCAGUGAAAUGCGUAGAGAUGUGGAGGAAUACCGAUGGCGAAGGCAGCCUCCUGGGAUAACACUGACGUUCAUGCUCGAAAGCGUGGGUAGCAAACAGGAUUAGAUACCCUGGUAGUCCACGCCCUAAACGAUGUCAAUUAGCUGUUGGGCAACUUGAUUGCUUAGUAGCGUAGCUAACGCGUGAAAUUGACCGCCUGGGGAGUACGGUCGCAAGAUUAAAACUCAAAGGAAUUGACGGGGACCCGCACAAGCGGUGGAUGAUGUGGAUUAAUUCGAUGCAACGCGAAGAACCUUACCUGGUCUUGACAU
rnacentral:rRNA from 1 species